rnacentral:rRNA from 1 species
UACAGAGGGUGCGAGCGUUAAUCGGAAUUACUGGGCGUACAGCGCGCGCAGGCGGACCCGGACGUGCCGUGUGACAAGCCACCGCUCACCGGUGGAGGGCCACGGUACACGACGGGUCUGGAGGCAGGGAGAGGGAUGUGGAAUGCCCGGUGGAGCGGUGAAAUGCGUAGAGAGUCGGGAGGAACAUCUGUGGCGAAGGCGGCCAUCUGGACCAGCACUGACACUGAGGCACGAAAGCGUGGGGAGCAAACAGG